UGGGGAAUAUUGCACAAUGGGCGCAAGCCUGAUGCAGCAACGCCGCGUGAGGGACGACGGCCUUCGGGUUGUAAACCUCUUUUGGCAGGGAAGAAGCGAAAGUGACGGUACCUGCAGAAAAAGCACCGGCUAACUACGUGCCAGCAGCCGCGGUGAUACGUAGGGUGCAAGCGUUGUCCGGAAUUAUUGGGCGUAAAGAGCUCGUAGGCGGUUUGUCGCGUCUGCUGGGAAAACCCGAGGCUCAACCUCGGGCCUGCAGUGGGUACGGGCAAACUAGAGUGCGGUAGGGGAGAUUGGAAUUCCUGGUGUAGCGGUGGAAUGCGCAGAUAUCAGGAGGAACACCGAUGGCGAAGGCAGAUCUCUGGGCCGUAACUGACGCUGAGGAGCGAAAGCAUGGGGAGCGAACA
rnacentral:rRNA from 1 species